UACGUAGGGUGCGAGCGUUGCCCGGAUUUAUUGGGCGUAAAGGGCGCGUAGGCGGCCACGCACCGUCCGUUGUGAAAUCGCUCGGCUCAACUGGGCGGGGUCAGCGGAUACGGAGUGGCUGGAGCAAGCUAGGGGGCAAUGGAAUUCCCGGUGUAGUGGUGGAAUGCGUAGAUAUCGGGAGGAACACCAGUGGCGAAGGCGGUUGCCUGGAGCUUUGCUGACGCUGAUGCGCGAAAGCGUGGGGAGCGAUCCGG
rnacentral:rRNA from 1 species